AUUAGUUUCACUUACAGAUUACUGGGUCCGCCACCACCACCAACACAAUGUCACUGUUAUGCCCAACGGUCGGAAAUGAAGGAACUUAUAAGGAGUACAAUAAUUAAUACAAUAACUGAA